UACGUAGGGGGCGAGCGUUGUCCGGAAUCAUUGGGCGUAAAGCGCGCGCAGGCGGUCUCUUAAGUCUGAUGUGAAAGCCCACGGCUCAACCGUGGAGGGUCAUUGGAAACUGGGGGACUUGAGUGCAGGAGAGGAGAGCGGAAUUCCUGGUGUAGCGGUGAAAUGCGUAGAGAUCAGGAGGAACACCGAUGGCGAAGGCAGCUCUCUGGCCUGUAACUGACGCUGAGGCGCGAAAGCGUGGGGAGCAAACAGGAUUAGAUACCCUGGUAGUCCACGCCGUAAACGAUGAGUGCUAGGUGUUAGGGGCUUAGACGCCUUUAGUGCCGAAGUUAACACAUUAAGCACUCCGCCUGGGGAGUACGGUCGCAAGACUGAA
rnacentral:rRNA from 1 species